AUGCACUCGCCGGCGCGCUGCCCCGCCGCCACCACCGCGUCCUCGCCUCUGCGCGCGCCGUUCGUCGCCAUGGCCCAGCGCGGCCGCAGGCCGCCCUCGUCCGCGGCCCCCGAGGCCGAGCAGCCGGAGGAGGCGCUCGCCCGCAUCCUCCGCACCGAGGCCGCCGUCUCCGGCGUCUCCCGCAAGGCGUCCGCGGGCUCCAGCCAGCACUCCACCCGCCUCUGGCCCCGCGCCGUCCUCCAGGCCCUCGAUUCCGCCGUCGCCUCCUCCCGCUGGGAGUCCGCCCUCGAGGUCCGCUCCCUCCUCAACCCCUCUCUCUCUCUCUCUCGUAUGGUCCAGCCGGUGCGCGCUACCUGUUCGACUGAUGCUCACCACGUAAGGAUUGCUGUUUCUCAGAUCUUCGAGCUGCUGCGGAAGCAGCGGUGGUACGAGCCGAGGACGCAGAUCUACGCCAGGCUGCUGAUGAUGCUGGGCAGGUGCCGGCAGCCCGGCCCGGCCACCGCCCUCUUCAAGGUGAUGCUCUCGGAGAAGCGGCUCGCGCCGACGGUGGACGUGUACACGGCGCUCGUUGGCGCCUACGGCUACAGCGGCCUGCUGGACGAGGCGAUGGCCACGGUCGAUCGGAUGAAAGGUGCUGACGCAGACUGCAAGCCGGACGAGUACACCUUCUCUGUCCUCAUCAAUUGCUGCUGUAAGUCGCGCCGCUUCGACCUGAUCCCCACCGUCCUCGACGAGAUGUCAUAUCUGGGGGUUGGAUGCAACGUUGUCAUCCACAAUGGGAUAAUUGAUGGGUACGGCAAGGCCGGCAUGCUAGAGGAGAUGGAGGAUGCGCUGUCCAACAUGCUUCAAGAUGGGGACAAUGUGCCGGACAUAUACACGAUGAACUCCAUCAUCUGGGCCUAUGGCAACCGUGGCAGGGUGGAUGACAUGGAGAGGUGGUAUGGUGAGUUUCAGUUGAUGGGCGUUGAGCCAGAUACGCGGACUUUCAAUAUCAUGAUGAAGUCUUACGGCAAGGCUAACAUGCCUGACAAAAUGUUGUCGGUGCUGAAAUAUAUAAAGCGGCGCUUCUUCUCACCCUCUGCCGCUACGUUCAACAUAAUCAUAGAGUGUUUUGGAAGGGCUGGCAACAUUGAGAAGAUGGAGUACUAUUUCAGGCUGAUGAAAAUUAAGGGUGUCAAACCCAACCCCAUCACGUACUGCUCGCUGGUUAAUGGAUACAGCAAAUCUGGGCUCCUUGAUAGGGUUCCUGCAAUUAUUCGGCAGACGGAGAACACUGAUGUUGCCUUAGAUACUCCAUUUUUCAACUGUGUUAUCAGUGCAUACGCCAAGUCUGGCGAUAUCAAAAUAAUGGAGGAAAUGCUACAGCUAAUGAAGGAAAAGAAAUGUAAGCCUGGCAAGGUAAUUUAUAGCACCAUGAUUCAGGCAUAUAUUGCCCAUGGAAUGGAGGAAGACGCUAAGUUAUUAGAAAAAGAACUGGAAAGAGUUGACGAGAAGUUGCUUGAUCUGUUCUGA
rnacentral:rRNA from 1 species